rnacentral:rRNA from 1 species
UACGUAGGCAGCAAGCGUUGUUCGGAGUUACUGGGCGUAAAGAGUGCGUAGGCGGUCCUGUAAGUUUGGUGUGAAAUCUCCCGGCUCAACUGGGAGGGUGCGCCGAAGACUGCAGGGCUUGAGUAUGGGAGAGGUAAGCGGAAUUCCUGGUGUAGCGGUGAAAUGCGCAGAUAUCAGGAGGAACACCGGUGGCGAAGGCGGGUCUCUGGGCCGAUAUUGACGCUGAGGAGCGAAAGCGUGGGGAGCGAACAGG